rnacentral:rRNA from 1 species
UACGUAGGUGGCGAGCGUUGUCCGGAUUUCCUGGGCGUAAAGAGCGCGCAGGCGGCUGGUCAAGUCCGAUGUGAAAGCUCCCGGCUUAACUGGGAAAUUGCAUCGGAAACUGAUCGGCUGGAAGGUGGGAGAGGGUAGCGGAAUUCCUGGUGUAGCGGUGAAAUGCGCAGAUAUCAGGAGGAACACCGGUGGCGAAGGCGGUUCUCUGGGCCUUACCUGACGCUGAGGAGCGAAAGCAUGGGGAGCAAACAGG